rnacentral:tmRNA from 1 species
GGGGUUGGGUUGGUUUUGACAGCAAGGUAAAGGCUCAAGCAAGCACGCAGUUAUACGCAACAGAUAACUUUAAACCCGGUUGCAAAAAAUUAAUUGGCGAAAAUACUUACGCUCUUGCUGCGUAACCGAAGUACAGUAAGUUACUCUUUAUCAGCACAAGGUGUUGAGCAAGACGCUCCUCCGACGGUUAGAAACUCUUGGCUAAGGAUUAAAGGGGUGCAUCAUUCAAAGAGUUUAGUCUGCGGUUUUCUUCGCACUGCGGAUGAAAAUUGAGAAGAUAAGAUAAAUUUCAGCGAGUCUGUCCGCAGGGUUUAUCCGACAAUUUAAGGCAGAAUAAGCGUGUAGAAAACUUCGGUUUUUCUUGUUUGGACCAGGGUUCGAAUCCCUGCAGCUCCACCA